rnacentral:tRNA from 2 species
GGCGGAAUGGAGCAGAGGCAGCUCACCGGGUUCAUGCCCGGAGGUCGCAGGUUCGAUCCCUGCUUCCGCGA